CAAGUUGGUACGAAUGGAGAUUGGAGAUAUCAUUUUUGCCCUUGUCGUUGAAUGAAAGGUACAUACUUUUCGAAAGAUGUGGAAAUCGGAAGUGGAAAAUCCAAAGGCAGACAGUUGAAAUUGCCAAAAUUAUAUAUCUAAACGUAUUUACGUGAGUGGAGAUUGGUGAUAUCUUUCCGAGCUUAUGCCAUAUGUAUUAAUUUUACUUAUAUCGUAAUCCGAAACCUAUUGACAAUAAUUAGGCGCAGUUUCCAAAAGAAAAAUGGGCGCAAAUGGCGCUGCGUUUCCUCAAACCCGCCGCAUAAACGGCCAACUAGCUCAUGGUUCGAAACCAAAAUAAGAGCUUGAGAUCAUCCACAGUAGUAGUUCGUUCUGGGCAUUUGAUCUUCUUAACUCCAAACCAAUGGGGUUGAGCGCCACUCAAUUUUUAACUUAACUCUCCCCGUAUGACAUUAAAAUUGUG